UACGUAGGGGGCAAGCGUUGUCCGGAAUCAUUGGGCGUAAAGAGCGUGUAGGCGGCCCGAUAAGUCCGCUGUGAAAGUCCAGGGCUCAACCCUGGGAUGCCGGUGGAUACUGUCGGGCUCGAGUCCGGAAGAGGAGUGUGGAAUUCCUGGUGUAGCGGUGGAAUGCGCAGAUAUCAGGAAGAACACCAACGGCGAAGGCAGCUCGCUAGGACGGUACUGACGCUGAGACGCGAAAGCGUGGGGAGCGAACAGG
rnacentral:rRNA from 1 species